UGCCUGUUAUAUUUAUAACAUUCUGGAGUCCACUUUCAAGAAAAAAUGUUUAUUAACAAGGCAUCCGUCGUAUUCCAGUAAGGCUGCUUUACGGCGAAUUCCUGAGAGCUGCAGAAAGUGACCAAAAUGUGUUCAUGCAGGAAUAGCCUAGAGGAAAAAAAAAUCUGGAUCUUAAAAGGUCCACUGUGCUCUCUGAAGCGGUGGCGGGAGCUUUCCUGUGAUAGGCGUGGAAAGCAGAACAUCAUCUUCAAGGCUAAUUCCGGGCUCUGACCUGAGGGGGUCACCUAGAGAUGACAAGAUGCAUUCUUGACUAAUCAAAGUCAAAUUUGACUUGUGUUUUUACCCCUAUUGUGGACAAGGAGAGGAGCUGCGGAUGGAGGACAUCAGAACGAAGCAACACUCUUCACUGACGGCUAGUGAUCUUCAGCUUGCAUUGUGUGCCGUUAUUUUACAAGUGUAAGUUGUCCGUUUGGAGGACAAGCACGUGACAAUAAAGGAAGCAGGAAGUGGAGUGGAAAGAACAGCUUGCGGAGCUUUCCACUGCGUUGAAAAACUUUGCCUGCCUCGUAGAAAUCAUACCAGCGCGAAUAUUCUAAAAAUGAUUUUGUCAUUUUAAAUACUACAAAUUGUUCAAGUGGCAAAAUAAAAAAUGAAAAAUACUGGAACUAUGUCCUAGAAACAGAACAGGGGACAAUUCCGACAUCAUAAAUGAUGUGGAUUACAUGGUUGGUGAACGGCUGACGAAUUGCUGGUACUUUGAAAGGAUGUGAACGACGUGGAAGAAACUUGUGUCGGAAACAAACACCAAACCUAUAUUGAUCGGACAGUAGGUUGCACCUUGGAGAAUCCCUCACCUCAGUGUAUAAACCGAGCUCUCUUUUACUGGUUUCAUCAAAGUGGACUGAAGGGCCAGAGAGUUUCUUGGAAGGUUUCUGAAUGAAAUUGACUAGAAACUGGAUUGUUCAUUAUGAAAAUACAGCUGAUGCCAUAUUUUAAAAUUUUUUACUUGAUUUUUUCCCAAAAUAAACAGUAACCGUUUUUUGACACAUUAUCUUCUCUAUAAUGAGGAGACUUUGAUUCUGGUUAUACUUAGAAAAUGGCCACAAAAGGUAAAAUAUCUACACUUGUUGUUCUUUUCUAUUAACCACGGAAACUUUAAAAAUUUGUUUAAAAAAGUCAAAAGUAAAAGAAUUGCCAGGUUUUAAUAAGUUCCUUUGGUCUGAAAGUGGGAAUAAAUC